rnacentral:misc_RNA from 1 species
AUGUAAACAGGGUGUACCAGGUGGCCUGGUCCGCCGACAGCCGUUUGUUGUGUAGCGGAAGCUCCGACUCCACCCUGAAGGUGUGGGACAUCAGGCAGAAAAAGCUGCUGGUGGACCUCCCAGGGCACGCCGACGAGGUUUAUGCAGUAGACUGGAGCCCAGAUGGACAGAGGGUAGCUAGUGGGGGAAAAGACAAGGUUCUGAAAAUAUGGAGAAAGUAAUAGAUGGAUAUACACAGCUGUACUUGUCAAUCCUGUGAUAUGGCCUUAAGAAGGACAAAAUCUGAUUCAAAAUAAAUUCAUGAGAAAUUU